GACGAACGCUGGCGGCGUGCCUAAUACAUGCAAGUCGAACGAACCGCGACUAGGUGCUUGCACUUGGUCAAGGUGAGUGGCGAACGGGUGAGUAACACGUGGGUAACCUACCUCAUAGUGGGGGAUAACAGUCGGAAACGACUGCUAAUACCGCAUAGGACAUAGGAUCACAUGAUUCUGUGAGGAAAGGUGGCGCAAGCUAUCGCUAAGAGAUGGACCCGCGGUGCAUUAGCUAGUUGGUAGGGUAAAGGCCUACCAAGGCGAUGAUGCAUAGCCGACCUGAGAGGGUGAUCGGCCACAUUGGGACUGAGACACGGCCCAAACUCCUACGGGAGGCAGCAGUAGGGAAUCUUCCGCAAUGGACGCAAGUCUGACGGAGCAACGCCGCGUGAGUGAAGAAGGUCUUCGGAUCGUAAAGCUCUGUUGUUAGAGAAGAACAGCGCAUAGAGUAACUGUUAUGCGUGUGACGGUAUCUAACGAGAAAGCCACGGCUAACUACGUG
rnacentral:rRNA from 1 species